rnacentral:rRNA from 1 species
GACGUAGGGCGCGAGCGUUGUCCGGAUUUAUUGGGCGUAAAGAGCUCGUAGGCGGUCUGUCGCGUCGGCUGUGAAAACCCGGAGCUCAACUCCGGGCCUGCAGUCGAUACGGGCAGGCUAGAGUUCGGUAGGGGAGACUGGAAUUCCUGGUGUAGCGGUGAAAUGCGCAGAUAUCAGGAGGAACACCGAUGGCGAAGGCAGGUCUCUGGGCCGAUACUGACGCUGAGGAGCGAAAGCGUGGGGAGCGAACAGG